GCCAGAGUGGCAUAGUGGUUUGAGUGUUGGACUAUGACUCUGGAGAACAGAGUUUAAAUCCCAGCUCAGCCA